GUAAACCCCUUUUGUCAAGGAAGAAGCUCUGACGGUACUUGACGAAUAAGCCUCGGCUAACUCCGUGCCAGCAGCCGCGGUAAUACGGAGGAGGCAAGCGUUAUCCGGAAUGAUUGGGCGUAAAGCGUCUGUAGGUGGCCAGCUAAGUUUGCUGUUAAAGAUCACAGCUCAACUGUGGGAAGGCAGUGGAAACUGGCAAGCUAGAGGUUGGUAGGGGUAAAGGGAAUUCCCGGUGUAGCGGUGAAAUGCGUAGAUAUCGGGAAGAACACCGGUGGCGAAAGCGCUUUACUGGGCCAGACCUGACACUGAAGGACGAAAGCUAGGGGAGCGAAAGGGAUUAGAUACCCCUGUAGUC
rnacentral:rRNA from 1 species